UCUUGAUGAAGCCGGUUUCGAAGCGAUCCUCUAGUCAUCUAGUUGGCUGAUGCAUCGCAAUGCUUAUGAAACAAAAUAUCACGUUGGUUACACAGGGCAUAAAUUUCAAAUACAUCGAAGCAGAUUUCACCAAUGAUAGAAGCAAAUUCUUCAAUGAACGGAAACGUAAUUAGUGGCCAACAUAAGCUCGUGAUUUGCAGAAGAUGUUUAAGGUAGUUUACCCAGGCUAGUUUUAAGGGGCCAGCAGCCACAUCAGAUCAAUCAGAUCAGAUGUUAUCAUAGGGCUCAGGACUAGUCUCAUGGGAAGCAAGGCAUCAGUAGUCUGAUGCCUAGUGUUUCCCAGUUAGUCCUUGUACAAUGGUGGGUGUUUAUGCCAGCUGCUUACAGAAAAAAAGACUAGCGUUGCCUCGCAAAUAAACGUGGUCUCGCAAUGUAGAGGCGCUAGUCAGAGGUGCUUCGGUUGUGUUAACGUUGGUGUAGCUCUCUCCAACGUUGGGAUGCUACACAACUAAAAUAACGCUCGCAGCCCAGAUCCUCCACUAAAAUAAUGCUCACUCGCUCAGCUCCCUCCUCACGCUAUCCUCUCAUCGCCUUCUGUAUCCCGACCACACACAAUACUCCCAAAAUCACGCCGACGGCAACUCCGUAACAGCACCGAUUUCGAAGCACACCUCCGCCCCUUCCUCUGCCGCUCCCAUGGCGCGGCUUCCUCCUCAAGCUGCCCGGCGCUGCUUCGCCGGUGGCGCAGCCGCAGGAGUCCAACGGGCGGGGGUCCAGGCGGUGCUCGACGAUGCAGCCGGCGUUGGGGAGGAGUCGCGUCAGGUAACGCCAGAGGUGAAGGACCUAGUCCAGGUGAUUCUCGACGAGCCGUGUGCAUAGGGGAGCAGGAUAUGUCUUCUACCUGAGGUGUGGAGGGAAGACGAGAAGGGUGUGGAGGGCGAGGUCGCUGCCGGAGCUCUGCCGGACUGAGGUUGAUUUGGUGUUGCGUUUUCAGCUAGUAGCUCGAUUUGUGCAUCUGCGUCUGCCACAUGGAGAGGCUUCCCUUGCUGCUGUUGUUUCCCAACGUGUUCUGAUUCUUGAUCUUUGUUCGGCCUAAACAUCAAUAUUUAUUCUAUCCUAUUUGCUAUCCUUUCAAGUC